UACGGGGGGGGUAAGCGUUGUUCGGAAUUACUGGGCGUAAAGGGCUCGUAGGCGGCCAACUAAGUCAGACGUGAAAUCCCUCAGCUUAACUGGGGAACUGCGUCUGAUACUGGAUGGCUUGGAUCCGGGAGAGGGAUGCGGAAUUCCAGGUGUAGCGGUGAAAUGCGUAGAUAUCUGGAGGAACACCGGUGGCGAAGGCGGCAUCCUGGACCGGUAUUGACGCUGAGGAGCGAAAGCCAGGGGAGCAAACGGG
rnacentral:rRNA from 2 species